AACGAACGCUGGCGGCAGGCUUAACACAUGCAAGUCGAACGCAUCCUUCGGGGUGAGUGGCAGACGGGUGAGUAACGCGUGGGAACGUGCCCUUCAGUUCGGGAUAACCCAGGGAAACUUGGGCUAAUACCGGAUACGUGCGAGAGCAGGAAGAUUUAUCGCUGAAGGAUCGGCCCGCGUGUGAUUAGAUAGUUGGUGGGGUAAUGGCCCACCAAGGCGACGUUCAGUAGCUGGUCUGUGAGGAUGAUCAGCAACAUUGGGACUGAGACACGGCCGAAACUCCUACGGGAGGCAGCAGUGGGGAAUAUUGGACAAUGGGCGCAAGCCUGAUCCAGCCAUGCCGCGUGAGUGAUGAAGGCCUUAGGGUUGUAAAGCUCUUUCGUCCGGGACGAUAAUGACGGUACCGGAAGAAGAAGCCCCGGCUAACUUCGUGCCAGCCGCCGCCGUAA
rnacentral:rRNA from 1 species